rnacentral:rRNA from 1 species
GUGGGGAAUUUUGGACAAUGGGCGCAAGCCUGAUCCAGCAAUGCCGCGUGCAGGAAGAAGGCCUUCGGGUUGUAAACUGCUUUUGUACGGAACGAAACGGCUCUGGUUAAUACCCGGGGCUAAUGACGGUACCGUAAGAAUAAGCACCGGCUAACUACGUGCCAGCAGCCGCGGUAAUACGUAGGGUGCAAGCGUUAAUCGGAAUUACUGGGCGUAAAGCGUGCGCAGGCGGCUUUGUAAGACAGGCGUGAAAUCCCCGGGCUCAACCUGGGAAUGGCGCUUGUGACUGCAAAGCUGGAGUGCGGCAGAGGGGGAUGGAAUUCCGCGUGUAGCAGUGAAAUGCGUAGAUAUGCGGAGGAACACCGAUGGCGAAGGCAAUCCCCUGGGCCUGCACUGACGCUCAUGCACGAAAGCGUGGGGAGCAAACAGGAUUAGAUACCCCGGUAGUCC